CCUACGGGGAGCAGCAGUGAGGAAUAUUGGUCAAUGGGCGCAAGCCUGAACCAGCCAAGUCGCGUGAGGGAUGACGGUCCUAUGGAUUGUAAACCUCUUUUGUCGGGGAGCAAGGCCCGCCACGUGUGGCGGGAAGGAGAGUACCCGAAGAAAAAGCAUCGGCUAACUCCGUGCCAGCAGCCGCGGUAAUACGGAGGAUGCGAGCGUUAUCCGGAUUUAUUGGGUUUAAAGGGUGCGUAGGCGGAAGGUUAAGUCAGCGGUCAAAUGUCGGUGCUCAACACCGGCCUGCCGUUGAAACUGGUCGUCUUGAGUGAGCGAGAAGUAUGCGGAAUGCGUGGUGUAGCGGUGAAAUGCAUAGAUAUCACGCAGAACUCCGAUUGCGAAGGCAGCAUACCGGCGCUCAACUGACGCUGAGGCACGAAAGCGUGGGGAUCGAACAGGAUUAGAUACCCUUGUAGUC
rnacentral:rRNA from 1 species